GGAACCUCAGGAUACAUCAAAAUCCUCAAAAACUCCAUAACAUGAACAGGUGUCCUGUGUCAUUGUCAUUAUAUCCUGAACGUGGAUGAAGAAAUGAUACCAUUUUGUUAGAAAACUAAAUUAUGGUGUAGUAAGAGUGUGCGUGGGUGGGUUAUAUAAGAUUAAAGAUUCUGUUAAAAUUGUUAACAGUGGUUCAAUCCUGUCCUUAAAUGGUGUGCGAGUGUUCUUU
rnacentral:misc_RNA from 1 species